rfam:Chlorocebus sabaeus isolate 1994-021 chromosome 24, whole genome shotgun sequence.
UUUUCAGUAUAAGUAUGUAUCAUGCAAUAUUUGGUACAUAUUUAUACUAAAA